CCGAGUGGCCACUGGAGGAAAAAAAAAAUAAAGAACGCUAACUCGUGCCCUCGAUAUCCUAACUCGUUCCCUCGAUAUCCUAACUCGUUCCCUCGAUAUCCUAACUCGUUCCCUCGAUAUCCUAAAUCGAGGGAACGAAAUAAUUAUUUCGAGGGAACGAAUUAAGUAUUUCGUUCCCUCGAAAUAAUUAUUUCGUUCCCUCGAUUUAGGAUAUCGAGCGAACGAAUUAAGUAUUUCGUUCCCUCGAAAUAAUCAUAUUAGAAAUCGAAAUACAAUUUCGUGAUUAAAGUCUAAAUCUCUGGCCCAUCAAAGCCAGUGAGGAGAGACGGACAUGCAGCUGUUUUAUAAUAGAUCCAUGCAGCAUCAGCAGCAGCAGCAGCAGCACCGGGACCAGCUACAACAUCUUGGAGUGGAAGGGGCCGUCUAUGUGCUGGAGUUAACAGUGGCUGCAACGCUCUGACAUCCACGUUGACAUUAUACAGCAAUCUUACACAACCACACAGAUUCUUUUGCCGGAGUCCGAAGUUUCAUCUAUGGACGCAGCACCACAAACCAGCGGAUUGAAUCGUGGUGGGGGAUCCUGAGGAAACAAAGUGCACAGUUUUGGAUCAACGUUUUCCAAACCCUCUAAGAUGACGGCUACUUCUCUGGUGAUUUCUUGGAUAGGAGCCUGAUCCAAUUCUGCUUCCUAAACCUUGUUCAGGAUGAACUUGACGAAGUCGUGAGAACCUGGAAUUCACACAAGAUAAGAGCAAAGGCAGCUGAUGGUGUGAUUGGAGGUCGGCGGAUUUUGAUGUACACACUUCCAGGCAUGUUCGGCGCAGAGGACAAUCUCAAGCCCAUACACAUGAAUGAAUUGGCCCUUUGUAGGGAGGAGUGCACCCCCAAAAGCCAAUAUACAUGUGAUGAAACUGUAUUUGAUCUCUGCUGUCUUCUGAUGCAGGAAAGGGGAUGGGAUCCUCCUACAGAUGCAUUUUCCGCUGCUGAACUGUACACCUUAUUAAGAACUGAAAUACUGCAAAGUGUCUGAGGGUGGACAAUUCUCUCUGCACAAAGAAGAAUCAUUUGUACUGUACAAUACAGGACUGUCUCAGAAAAUUAGAAUAUUGUGAUA